rnacentral:lncRNA from 1 species
CCUUUUGAUGAUCCAGUCGGUGGACAAAAUCCAAGACGACUUUUGAAAAAGAAUGUCGGCCACCACAAAUGAAAGCAAAAUUCAAAUGAAAUGCAGAAUCGAGCCUCUAUAAAUAGAUUCAAGAUUCAGAAGACAGGCAUCGGCGAAGAAAUAUCAGAAAUUGUAAUAGACUUGUCUUAGUUUUCCUACGAUUACCACUCACUCCGAAGUUCUCCUACUAUUCCCACUCACUCUAAAUAACCAUUGUACUCCAAAGUCUUUGUAGAAGUGGAUUUCAUCAUUACAAUAAAGUCUUCAAGGUUGGAAUUCAUUACAAGCUUCCGUUAGGCACUCAACAAUCAAAAGUAAGUCCAACUAUUUAUGUUUAUUACAUUCUAAGUC